rnacentral:lncRNA from 1 species
ACAGGGGGUGUUCACCCUGUGAUAUUUUUCAUCAUAGUUUUGUGGGAUGUUACUCCUAAAGUCACACGGGGUGUACACAGAGUCACACAGUGAUAUGAGUUGUAACAUUCUAUAGACAUGUUACUUGUAAAUCACAGGGGCUGUACCUCCUGUGAUAUGGUUCCUAAUAUUCUAGGGGAAUGUUGCUACUAUUGUCACGGGGGUGUACACCCUGUGAUAUGACUCGUCAUAUCCCAGCGGAAUGUUACUACUAAUGUCACAAUGCCUGUACACCCUGUGAUACUAUUUGUAAUAUGCUAAAGAGAUGUUACUACUAAGGUCACAAUGAAUGGAACAGAUAAGAAGAUACUGAAAUUGGACGGUGCUGCCGUGCGGCUGCCGCAGGACACCUUUAAUAUCCCUGUUUCUCAGGCUGUAGAUGAAGGGGUUCAGCAUGGAGGUGAUCACCGUGUACAUCACUGAGGCCACUGCAGCCUUUCUCGGGGAAGAUGACACAUCUGAACUGAGGUACCCUCCAAAGCCUGUUCCGUAAAAUCAGCAAACAACUGACAGGAUAACUUCAGGAAGUGGGUAUUAAUUCUCACGGUAUAAGUGAAGACAUUAAGCACCAGAGUUUAAGUAGCUUGAUCCACUGAAAGAGAUUCAACUGUGUGGAACCUAUGCCGUGGAGAAUUGCUUUCUGCCAUUGUUAUCGUCCAGCAGUUGCCGAAUAGCUCUGACCUGAGCAAAGCAGUGAAACGCGGUGCUGUUGAGUGGGUUGCCACUGCACCUUUUUCAACUACUCUAGUCUUGUGGAGAAAAUACCCCUUCUAAAUUUUUUCUUCAUUGAAUACUCUCCCUCAGCUCCAGAGUACCAUAUAGAGUUUUCUUGUAUUUUAGAGUUACUGUUUUAUCAAAGUUUACCAGUCUUUUGUAUUACAUUUCUCCUGUCUAAAUCGACUGUGUGGUUUCUACUCAUUAUGGAUAUAGAUUGAUACAAACUCAAUAAAUAUUUUUGAAUGAAUAA